UUUUUACUCUCUGUCUCUUUGUUGUUUAAGCACACCCGUUGACGUGGCAACCGCCUGCGCCCCGCAAGGCGAGCAGAGAUUAUUUUAAAAACACAACAUUCAGUUCGUUACGAUAUCAGGUUUCCAGACUCGAUAUUAUUUCUCGAUUAUUAAUAAGCUUCUCAUGAACACAGCGGUGUUGAGCAGCUAACUUAAACUCCUGCUCUGCUCAUCAGUCGGUCUUUGAGUCGCCUUUUUUUCCUCUUUUGUUUGUUAAUGGAACCGAAACGCACUAAAUUGCGCAACACCUUGU